AUUAAUAUGUAUACAGACUUAGAAUUAAAGAUAUUUACUACGCACUUAUAAAUUACACAUUACUAUGCAGUUAUGAUCAAAGAAAGAAACAUAGGAAAUAAGGCCAACAGCAGAAGAAUACAGGAUAUAACACGAACACUUGUUACACAAUGUUCUAUAGCAGUGAUGGCGAACCUUUUUGAGCCCGAGUGCCCAAACCGCAAUACAUGCCAAC